rnacentral:rRNA from 1 species
UACGUUCCCGGGCCUUGUACACACCGCCCGUCACACCACGAAAGUCGGCAACACCCGAAGCCAGUGGCCCAACCCGUAAGGGGGGGAGCUGCGAAGGUGGGGUCGGUGAUUGGGGUG